UAUCGUUUCCUUUAUUUCGGCUUCGUAUCACCGAUUGAAGCAUAUUGGAAGUGUGGGUUGACCUGACUGCACUUGCAUUCAAAGUAGUGAUUAACGUUGUAUGUUCGGCAGUACAAAGUUUCAUUAAGUGCCUUGGUUCGUCUUGGUGCUAAAAUAAAUACGGUAUCACUAAUUAACCAUCGAGAUUAACGAGUUUUCGAUGACUGUUGAAGUCUUGAGUAAACGAAAGUCGACAGUUACGGUUUGCAGGGCGGACAUGCCGGAACAUAAAUGCUGGUUAGUUCAUUGUCAUGUCAGCCCGACUUCGGUUGUUGCAUUUUUCGCUGGUAGUGAAACUACACACUGAAAAUUUUGCGCAAGUACUUUUGUUUGCAUAUCAUGGUUUCAUAGCAACUGGGUUUUUCUUUUUAUAGGUGCUUGGACUAUCUUGCAUCGGUGGAUAUGAAAAUAGUGGUAACCUACCCUACGAAACAGCUAUUUGCACAUAAGCUUAACAGUUCCCUGUGAGAUGCUGUGAAAGUCAGCAGGGAAGUGCGAUGUAGAAGAAAUGACUGCCAGAAGCUUGCUAAGGAACCGCACAACCUGUGUGGGCAGCAGACAAAAUAUUCAUCAAACGAAGUUUUGCACCAAAGUUAUGAGAG